UUGGAAUUAGACUGUGGAGUCUCUCAGAGGGGGUCCCGUGUCCCUCAGCCAUCGCUCACAUUGGAAUCACCUGGGAAGUUUCACCGACACCUGGAUCUGAACCCGAGGGCUCAUGGGGAAUGCUUUUAAGGUAAUUAACAAAGUCUUCAGCAAGAACACUGCAGAGACCUGAGAUUGGAAGGAAUUUAAAUUGGCUUCUUAAAGUACACUUUCGGGCUUAAGGGAAAUGGGAGACUCUGGUGGUGUCAGGCAGGAGCUAACAAUUUAACCAAGAAUUUUAAAAAAUUCACGUACUUGCACUUAAGGAUUCUACUGGAUUCUACUACCUUCUGGAACUGGUGCAUAUCUGAGUGGCUGCACCUGUGGAUUAUUUUUUUCCUAAACUACAUUGCUCCCACAAGGUCGGGGCUCAUUUGGAAAAGGUCACAGGGGGAGGAAGCCGACUCUGAGGAGCGUGACACUGCUGCCCCCCUGUGGACGGUCGGGGCAUCGGCCAGUCCGGCCUCACUUUCAAACUGUCAGAGGUUCCAUUUCUAAUUUCAUUUUGGAUCCAAUAUAAAAGUAGCUCUCUCCUGCUGCUGCUGCUGCUGUGAAAUUGACACCUUUAAAAAGGGACUAAACUCUUCCCCCUCCUGCUGGGGAAGCGCUGCUGGGCAUGGCAGCACGUGCCUAUAUCUCCAGCACUCUGGGAGGCAGAGGCAGUUCCAGCCCAGCUCAAAACGCAAGAUGAGAAGGGCCUGAGAUGUGAGGUGAUGCAAAGGCCCUGGGCUGAGCUCACUCCCGAGUGCCAAAAGUGAAAUGAAAUAAAAAUGGGGUAAACACGGUAUGGGGCAGGACGGGUCCUGGAGCAGACGACUCCAGGGAGCGAGCACCAGGUGACGGGCCACAGGGGAAGCUGCCCGCCCUGGUCUCCAACUUGACAGUGCCGAGCAAGAGAAGACUGGUGUAGAGGCAGAAGCCACCGAAGUGGAUGUCUUCCCCCCUCGCAUCGCUUCUAGGAACCUUUAGACAGUACUACCGCACGUCACCACAGCCUGUGCCAGGCCCCCGGAAACGAGCGCUCAGGCCUCCUGGUGCUUAGGACUGCGGCUCCAUCAAGAACCCAGGGGCAGAUGAUCGGCGAGGCGCACUUCCUCAGGGGUCAGGAAAAUUCUAUCGAUUACCACCGCCUCCACCGCAGGGCCCUGGGGAGGCAGGCUGAAGGCGCUCUGCUCCACGAGGGAGCACCAAGUGACUCACAGGAGCGUGAGGCCGACUCACCAGGUCUCCGGGCAGGAGGGCCGCAUGUGCCCUGCGUUUCCAGGCACUGCCAUGCAGUUGGCCUCCAAAGACAGCCAACCCCGAAUGCCUAGAACUCGAGAGUGUGACUUGAUGUAGCAAGAGGGUCUCUGCACAUUAAAGCCUCUGAAAUGGGGCGAUCGCCCAGCUAGGGCACUGUGUGUCAUCCCCAGGGUGCUUGGCGGAGAAGGCCGACAGGAGACUGACGGGCACAUAAUGGCAGGACCCCUGACCGUGCCACACUGUGGCUUUGGUAUGGAGAUGAGGAGCAGCCCAAAGAACGCAGCUCUGGCUGCUGAAGGAGGCAACGAACCCUGCUUCUCCGCGCCUCUGAAGGGCUGUGGCUUCCGUCCAGUGGAAGUGACUGAGACUUGUGCUAAGAAUGCGUGUUAGGUAGGGCACAGGUUUGCUGUACUUUGUUACGGCGGCCACGGGAAGCGAAUACACCACCGGCUUAUACCCCGAGGCGGAGCAGUCCCGGGAAGGACCCCCAACCCUGGCUGCACGUUAGAACCACCCAGGAAACUAACAACAAAACGCAGUGUCCAGGCCCCUUCCAAGACCAGCCAAGCUGGAGCCUGCAGGAUGGGCCCAAAGCUCACUCACCCAAAGGCUCUGGUGGUCAGGAAGCUCAGGUACCGAGCUCCCGCAUUAGCCCAAAAUACAAUUGUGUGUGUUCCGGGGAGACGCAGCUGCCCCAAAGGGCAGACAUACUGGUCUGCCAGGCAAUCCUACAAUUAUAUACCAGCUCCCCAAAACGAGGACAGGGCCAACGUCUGACACCAACAAUUGCCAGGGUCUGUCCGGCCUGGGAGCUCCUGUCUCCUAAUGGCUCAUCAGGGCUUGGCUCCGUGGACGGGGACUACCUGCCAGCACACGCUCCUGGGGCUCCGGGCUGCUCCCACCUCAGUUUCCUCUUCACGUCUAAGUAAAACAAUGGCAAACCCUGGCGAUGCUUUUGCAAAGCAUUCCUACCUCCAUUGUUAGCACAGCUUCCUAAACCUGGUUUGAGGUGGAGUCACCAGGAGAAACAUUCUGCAUGAAUCCCUCAUCUAGUAUGAAAAACCACAAAGGCAACUUGAAGCACAUGGCUGUGAACUCAUCCACUAAUGCUAUGUGAAUGGCACCUCUGAUAGAUUUUACUUCUCAUGAUCUGACCUGGAGAUGUAGCAUUCUUUAAAAUUAAGUGUUUCAAUGCAAUGCAAUGAACUUUUAUAGAAGAGCUUUCCAACCUCUGUGUGAGUGUGUAUGAUGCUCAACUUGAUCCUCUUGCAUUUAUUCAUUUGAGAAGUCAACCCGGGGCCUCAGGAGGGGUAGAAUCAUGCCUUGUAUGUAUCUGAAUGCGAGUAAUUUGGAGCUUGGGGUGUGUACGUGUAUCCAAAGCAGGUGAACAUGUGCUCAGCAGUGCAGAGUCCAAGGCUGCCGUGCCUGUUGUACUGCUAUAGCUUUCUUUGACAGAGAAGCAAAUAAAACAAUACAGUAUGAGGCCUCAACUACCCUCACCACCACAUUCUGGGGAUCAGAACAUGGGUUCUUCAGUCACAGCCUGAAAUAGCUCCCUGCAGGUGCAGGAUGAGCCACACGGACUGGGAAAUCUUCCCAACAAACGCUUCAGCCGCCUCCUACCCUGGCCCCAGUGGGCAGCCAUCUGGGGGACGUGGGCUUUGAAGAGGCUUCUGGUGGCUGAUCUGCCUCUACCUGGUGUCCAGGUGAGUCAGGGUCCGUAAUACCUGCGGGAAAGCCCGAUCAGGGGGCCACAUCUUCCUCCCAGAGAGUCCGGGCUCCACCCCCGAGGAGUCAAAUCUGGCUGAUCUGGGAAUAGCUUUACAAAACUGGCUCGCCCUGUCUUCGAGCGCUGAUAUAAACUAACAGCCAAAAGUAGAAGCCCAUCUGUUAUAACACAGCCGAAUUAGUGAUGCUCCGCUCAGGCCCACACGACGCUGUGGAGUAGAGGUUUUCUAGAACUUCCUGCAGAGGUGCUGCUUGCUCGGCCCUCCGGGAACCAAGGACAGUUUCCCAUUCCCUCAGCCUACAUCACCCGCGUUUUUCUCUUCUCCUGUUUUCCCGGUUUACAGAACCUCAUUUUUGUCCUCAUGAGCUUCAUUUUUAACGUUUGCUGUCACCACCUCUGAAUUCCACGAAGCAGGUAGGAUCUGUGUAGUGAAUUAAUUUUUCAGAAUUCACUUCUCAUUGUCACAGGGUUAGGAAUGGAAAAUGACAGAUGAAAAACAUGGCCACGAUCAGUGGGGUACAGCACGUUAUUUAUUAUUAAAGUCAGGACUCCUCUUGACAAAGACAGCUCGAUGGCAACCCACAUACACAGAAAAA